rnacentral:rRNA from 1 species
AUUGAACGCUGGCGGCAGGCCUAACACAUGCAAGUCGAGCGGAUGAAGGGAGCUUGCUCCUGGAUUCAGCGGCGGACGGGUGAGUAAUGCCUAGGAAUCUGCCUGGUAGUGGGGGAUAACGUCCGGAAACGGGCGCUAAUACCGCAUACGUCCUGAGGGAGAAAGUGGGGGAUCUUCGGACCUCACGCUAUCAGAUGAGCCUAGGUCGGAUUAGCUAGUUGGUGGGGUAAAGGCCUACCAAGGCGGCGAUCCGUAACUGGUCUGAGAGGAUGAUCAGUCACACUGGAACUGAGACACGGUCCAGACUCCUACGGGAGGCAGCAGUGGGGAAUAUUGGACAAUGGGCGAAAGCCUGAUCCAGCCAUGCCGCGUGUGUGAAGAAGGUCUUCGGAUUGUAAAGCACUUUAAGUUGGGAGGAAGGGCAGUAAGUUAAUACCUUGCUGCUUUGACGUUACCAACAGAAUAAGCACCGGCUAACUUCGUG